UGCGAGUCGAACGAGAACGAAUUAUAGCUUGCUAUAAUUGUCAGCUAAGUGGCGCACUGGGUGAGUAAUGUAUAGAUAACCUGCCCUCUAGAAAGGAAUAACAGAUGGAGACGUCUGCUAAUGCCCUAUAUGCCUUUAAUACAUAAGUAUGCAAGGGAAACGCUUUAGUGCUAGAGGAUGGGUCUGUAUGGUAUCAGUUUGUUGGUGAGGUAAUGGCUCACCAAGACUAUGACGCCUAACUGGUUUGAGAGGAUGAUCAGUCACACUGGAACUGAGACACGGUCCAGACUCCUACGGGAGGCAGCAGUGGGGAAUAUUGCACAAUGGACGAAAGUCUGAUGCAGCAACGCCGCGUGGAGGAUGACACAUUUCGGUGCGUAAACUCCUUUUAUAUAGGAAGAUAAUGACGGUACUAUAUGAAUAAGCACCGGCUAACUCCGUGCCAGCAGCCGCGGUAAUACGGAGGGUGCAAGCGUUACUCGGAAUCACUGGGCGUAAAGAGCGUGUAGGCGGGUAUAUAAGUCAGAAGUGAAAUCCUAUAGCUUAACUAUAGAACUGCUUUUGAAACUGUAUACCUAGAAUGUGGGAGAGGUAGGUGGAAUUUCUGGUGUAGGGGUAAAAUCCGUAGAGAUCAGAAGGAAUACCGAUUGCGAAGGCGAUCUACUGGAACAUUAUUGACGCUGAGACGCGAAAGCGUGGGGAGCAAACAGGAUUAGAUACCCUGGUAGUCCACGCCCUANACGAUGUACACUAGUUGUUGUGAGGCUCGACCUUGCAGUAAUGCAGUUAACACAUUAAGUGUACCGCCUGGGGAGUACGGUCGCAAGAUUAAAACUCAAAGGAAUAGACGGGGACCCGCACAAGCGGUGGAGCAUGUGGUUUAAUUCGACGAUACACGAAGAAACCUUACCUGGACUUGACAU
rnacentral:rRNA from 1 species